UACGAAGGGGGCUAGCGUUGCUCGGAAUACUGGGCGUAAAGCGCACGUAGGCGGUCUUUUAAGUCGGGGGUGAAAUCCUGGAGCUCAACUCCAGAACUGCCUUCGAUACUGGAAGACUCGAGUCCGGGAGAGGUGAGUGGAACUGCGAGUGUAGAGGUGAAAUUCGUAGAUAUUCGCAAGAACACCAGUGGCGAAGGCGGCUCACUGGCC
rnacentral:rRNA from 1 species